UUCGAGUGGCGGACGGGUGAGUAACGCGUGGGUAACCUGCCUUACACAGGGGGAUAACACCUGGAAACAGGUGCUAAUACCGCAUAAGCGCACAGGGCCGCAUGGCCCGGUGUGAAAAACUCCGGUGGUGUAAGAUGGACCCGCGUCUGAUUAGCUUGUUGGCGGGGUAGGGGCCCACCAAGGCGACGAUCAGUAGCCGGCCUGAGAGGGUGGACGGCCACAUUGGGGCUGAGACACGGCCCAAACUCCUACGGGAGGCAGCAG
rnacentral:rRNA from 1 species